AAAACAAGGGAGAAUCCCCGCCAGCGAGCUAACCAUAUCCUUUGAUUCUUGACGUUCAUGUCCAAGCCCGCUGUUCCACAUCUGAACCUUCCCUUUCUGAAGCACUACCGUCGAAUCAGAAGAUUUGCUGCACAUCUGGCCGACAAAAACUUUAAACCAACAACCAUAAAAAGCUACCUGACGGAUGCAGUCUUAUUUGUGAAGUACGUUUAUUAUUUUGCCAGAAGGGGUGGAAAUAGGCGUAAAAAGCCUCAAAGCGCUGCUUGUGGAACUCCGGGCGAGGAUUAGGGACAUGGCAAGAGCUGUGCUAGGGCAACAUCUGGCCCAACGCAGUAAAAAAUCUGUUGAACUGGUGAAAGCGUCUCAUCAUGCGUGGUUUGUCAAAAACGCACCAGCAAAGAUUUCUGCUGCACUCAGUAAGACUCGCUGCUAACUGCAGUAGUAUGAAUAUGUAUGUAUAAAUGUAUGUAUAAAUGUAUGUAUGUAUAAAUAAAAUGUGUAUGUAUUCUCCUGAAGUCAUUUGAGCUCUUGAUUAAGAGCAUUGUGGUAGUUUGAAUAUAAUGGGUAUUUGACAUUAAACUAUAUUGCAUACUUAUCUGUGGGCAGGCCUGCUGACCUAACAUUACAGAGACUCUCACCCAGAACCUGAUUUGGCUACGUGUUGAUCCAUAAGUUGGUUUUUCUAUGUUCUACAGAAUGCUAAUGGUGAGUCCUGAGCUUAAACCUUCACCAUUACUGGUUCUUGAGCGCAUCCCUGGGCUAAUAUUGAGGCUGGUCUUUACGUUAUGGGGUCUUGC